GGGGGCGUGGUGUAGUGGUUAACACGUCGGCCUGUCAAGCCGAAGAUCGCGGGUUCGAUCCCCGUCGCUCCCG
rnacentral:tRNA from 2 species